CUAAAUUUUCAAAUCGAUUCGGUUCGGUCAAUUUUUUCGAUUUGAACCGAAUACUGCUCAAUCCUAGUAAGAGCCCUUAAUAAGGUCUCUUUUAACAUUAAUCAAAAUAGACGAAGAGAGGGAAAAAAAAUAAAAAAUAAAAGGAAGUGUAGCUGCGCAAGCAGAACCCCACCACAUUGGCUAUCUCACUGAAAAAGUUUGGUGAAAAUGAAGUGAAUUUGAGAGGUAAGAUCCAAAAUCCUUUUGCCAAAUGCCAAAGGUGGCACUAAGGAAGCAGUGCUCAAUACAGUCUUUGGUUUAGAUUCCCUCAUCAUUACUACAUAAUAAUCAAAAGAAUCCCUUCAACGUCCAUGCACACACACAUGCUCAUUCAUUCACUCUCUAGUACUUUG
rnacentral:lncRNA from 1 species